ensembl:lncRNA
AAAAAAUCCAUGCAUGGAAGUCGCAAACAAACCAUGCUACAGUUCCAAAAACCAAAUCAAUUAAUAGCUGAUCUGUAGAAGUUACACUAGAAAGUCUUGCAUUCACCAUUCAGAAUUCGUCAUCUGUCAAUUUUAAGAAGUGCUGUUAUGAAGUAAAACCUGAAGUAAAACCUGAACUCUACCUGAAACCACUCUGUCUGGUUUUUUCAUGCACAGAUCAACAACGCCAUCUCCUGGACAGAAGGCUUUGGAUUCGAUGCAGAAUAAGCAAGAAUUAAAAUUGAGAACCAUACAGAAGGAGUAGUUGGUCUAAUUCUCAUGUUCAGGGUGACCUUACUCUCACGACGAGCCGAUAGAGAGG